UGAUAAGUUUAAAGGCCGCAGUAUUUUAACUGUGCAAAGGUAGCAUAAUCAUUAGUUUUUUAAUUGAAGGCUUGUAUGAAUGAUUGGACGAGAUAUAAUCUGUCUCUAAAAAAUUUUUAGAAUUUUAUUUUUUAGUUAAAAAGCUAAAAUAAUUUUAAAAGACGAGAAGACCCUAUAGAUCUUUAUAUAAAAAUUUUUAUUUUUUUAUUAGAUUAUUUUUAAUAAUAAAAUUUAUUAUAUUUUAUUGGGGUGAUAUUGAAAUUAAAUUAACUUUCAAAAAUUAAUAAAACAGUGAUUUUUGAAUUAUUGAUCCUUUAUUAUUGAUUAAAAAUUUAAGUUACCUUAGGGAUAACAGCGUAAUUAUUUUGGAGAGUUCUUAUCGAUAAAAUAGAUUGCGACCUCGAUGUUGGAUUAAGAUUAAUUCUAGGCGUAGCAGUUUAGAAUAUUAAGUCUGUUCGACUUUUAAUUUCUUACAUGAU
rnacentral:rRNA from 1 species